GACGAACGCUGGCGGCGUGCCUAAUACAUGCAAGUCGAGCGAAGUUUUUCUGGUGCUUGCACUAGAAAAACUUAGCGGCGAACGGGUGAGUAACACGUAAAGAACCUGCCUCAUAGACUGGGACAACUACUGGAAACGAUAGCUAAUACCGGAUAACAGCACUAACUGCAUGGUUGAUGUUUAAAAGUUGGUUUUGCUAACACUAUGAGAUGGCUUUGCGGUGCUUUAGCUAGGUGGUGGGGGAAAGUCCUACCAAGGCGACUAUGCAUAGCCGACCUGAGGGGGACGUCGGCCACACUGCGACGGAGCAGGGGCCAACACACCAGCGCGAGGGCGCAGGAGAGAGUCUUACGGGAAGCACGAAAGCGUAACAGAGCAACGCCGCGUAAGUGAAGAAGGAUUUCGGUUCGUAGAGCUCUGUUGUUAGGGAAGAAUGAUUGUGUAGUUACUCUACAAAGUAGAGACGGUACCUAAACAGAAAGCCACGGCUAACUACGUG
rnacentral:rRNA from 1 species